CCUACGGGGGGCUGCAGUGGGGAAUAUUGCGCAAUGGGCGAAAGCCUGACGCAGCCACGCCGCGUGAGCGAUGAAGGCCUUCGGGUCGUAAAGCUCUGUGGGGAGAGACGAAGAAAGCCCGUGAAGAGCGGGCCUUGACGGUAUCUCCUUAGCAAGCACCGGCUAACUCCGUGCCAGCAGCCGCGGUAAUACGGAGGGUGCAAACGUUGCUCGGAAUCAUUGGGCGUAAAGCGCACGUAGGCGGCGAAGCAAGUUGGGUGUGAAAGCCCUGGGCUCAACCCAGGAAGUGCAUUCAAAACUGCUUCGCUUGAAUCUCGGAGGGGGUCAGAGAAUUCCCGGUGUAGAGGUGAAAUUCGUAGAUAUCGGGAGGAAUACCAGUGGCGAAGGCGCUGACCUGGACGAAGAUUGACGCUGAGGUGCGAAAGCGCGGGGAGCAAACAGGAUUAGAUACCCCUGUAGUC
rnacentral:rRNA from 1 species